rnacentral:lncRNA from 1 species
UGGCCUGUGAAAAAUAAUUUGAUUACUACUAGUUGUGGUCUCCGGCAUAGUGAGCCACAUCAAGGGAAGAUAAUCAGAGUUGAUAUAAUCAUCGCCGAUGAGAUUGUACUUGCUUAUGAUCUGGUUAUCAUACGGAGGAGGUGGAAGUGCAGGAGUGGUUGAAUUAGAAAUCAUCCGGGCUAUGUUACUGUUAGAAAAUCCGAUUUCUGAAUCUUGGGCAGCGUAAUUAACGCAAUACGGAUCGACAAAUGUUGAAGUUGUACUGCAUCCCUCGCCGUUGUUAUAAUGGUCGACCUGUUGGAGUUGCGGCAUUAUGUAAUUAAGCGGCAUUACAUCUUGGACAAACUGAGAACUUUGGCCAUUUCCGCCGACUUCACAAUUAUUGUUAAACAUCUCGUCUAACCCGGUCAUGCCGACUUGGUCUUCAAAGUAAUGGGAAAAUGUGAUCGGAGAAUCAUCCAAACAAAAACUGUCGACGUUGUUCCCAAGUUUCAUAUUAUCCAUCAAUACCCCAAUCCUCUCAUUCACUGCGGCCAACUUUGCUUCCAACGAUGCGAAAACGGCGGAGGUGUUGGAGAUGCCUUGAGGCAGAAGUAUUCCGUAGUUAAACAUGAGGUAUCCAUUGACGACGUUGUCUCUCCUUAGCCGAUUGAGUUCGGCAGAGAUCUUCUUUAUCUGGUUCUUCAUAUGACUCUUGAGAUCGCCUUUACGUCGGUCACGGUCUUCGAUGCCGAGUCUUCCAAAUCUAUCGAUGAUGUUUUGCACCUCUAGUAGAUUUUCCGGCCAAGUUUGGAUAGAGUUAUUGUCUGCUGAACCUGUACAUAUCAAAACGACAUCAAUGCCGCAUAGUGUUGAAAGCUCCAUGGCCUUCUUCUUGAUACCAUCCAACCUCUUCCCGAACGUCGAUUUGCGCCGUCGCUCGUCUUCAAUGAAUCUGUACGGCAGUCUUUUCCGAACCAUCGUCGAGCUCGAGGUUUGGAAAUCAAAGAUGGAUUUCGGCAACGGUGGAGGAGCUAGAAGACCGAAAAUGGUGACGAAGACAGGAAGAAGAAUUAAGAAUGAUUUAGCUAUUGUUUACUAUUACAGGGCAUUUUAUGAUGCAAUUUUCAUGCAAUUAACGGAAAGAAAAAAAAGGAAAGAAAUUUUGAAAUUUAGCAUUAAAUCUGUAAUUUACAAUUACGAAUUUAAAUUACUUAUUUAAUUUACUUAUAUAAAAUAGAUUUUUUAUUACCUUUGUUGAAAUGAAAUCUGUAUCUAAAAUACAUUAUAAUAAUUUAUAAGAGAAACACCUAUAACAUCUGAAUUUUAUGAAUAUUAUUAGCAAAAACAUGAAAAGAACAUUUCAGUGCAAACACAAAAAAAAAACAGUGUAAAAAAUAAUUUAACUACAAUCAUACAUGGUUUUAAAAACACAAGUUACAAACAAUUCAACUAAAUAAUAGAACCGGUGCCAAAAAAAUAACAUAUAAAUUUGAAUUCAAAUAAACAUAGACCUUCUCACAUUGCAAUAUUGCAUAAUCCAAGUAGUACUCUACUGCACAUACAAUUUUUAUGGCAAUAAUUUUCCUAUUUGUCUGAUUCGUUUUUUCCAGCUGUAUCAUUUUGCUGCUGCUGUUGAUUUUGGUGUUGAAACUGCUGCUGCUGUGUCUGGAAAUUUGACUGUUGCGAAGAUUGUUGUGCUUGCUGUUGGUUUUGCUGCUGCUGUUGCUGCAGUUGAAACAUUUGGAACUUCAGCGUCAAUUGCUGAUUCAGGUUACUGGAUGAAUUAGCCUCACCCAACUCGGCAGUUGCAAUUUUCAGCCGUUGAACUUCAGCAGAGAGAGCCUCAUUAAGGGCUGAGAAUCAAAUAAAAAAAUAAUACAAGCAAGUUAAAAAAUCAUCUCCCACAAAUCCACAAUAAUCCAUGAAUAUAAAUUAAUUAAAGACAAUAACAUCAACAUGCAUCACAUGACCACAUGAGGUCAAAAAAACAGACAAAUCUGUCAUUUAAUAAUGGUUAAAUCUUAAUUACAUUUCAUGAUUGAAAUCAUUGUUUAAAAGCAGUUAUGCAGUGAAGCAGGACCUUACAAUUAUUUAUUUAAUUUAGAGAUUUUUAUAAAAAUAAGCUAAAUAACAGAAGUUGAAAAUUAAGAAAAGCAUAAAUGCAUAAAUGACUGACAGCGUCUUAAAUGACCUCACAGCCUCUUAAGCAGUGCAGAAUUUUAGAAGCGCACAACUUCUAUUAAAACAAGACUGUACUAUAAAAUACCAAGUGGAUUGUGUAUUUGUGUCAGUGAUUUGCAGUUUUUAGGAAAACAUAUAAAUGAUAUCAUGACAUAUGAUAUAUCUUUCUCAUUUCUAAUAGCGUGUUCUUAAAGGAACCAAAUAAAUAAGCACGAUUAAAUAAAAAAGUGUCGAUUCAAUGAACAAUAUUCGUCAAAUGGUAAUAAAAUAUAUGAUUAACCAGAAGCUUAAGCAUUUCAACUCAAGAAAAAAAAAUCUAUAAAAUCAUAAUACUCAUUAAAAAUAAGAACUUUAAGAAAUCUCAUAUCUUUCAAAUUGAUGAAGUGAGUUAAUUAUUUCAUCUAUGCAUUUUGACAUAGGCACAUAGCAUAAAAGAAUACUACAUCUAAGGAUAAAGUUACUUAUUGGUUAUUACGUUAUUUUCUGAAAAGCUACAUCACAAAAUGUUAUAGCAAUGAAUCAUAGUGAAAAAGUGUUAGUAUAGUGGUCUAUAUAGCAGAUGCGGAUCUGAUCCAACGUAUUAUUUGAAUAUGGAUAACUUAAUUAAAAACUAGAAGGAAGAAAAAAAAACUCUUAUAGUUGCUACCCCCUUUAAAAAUCUUCUCCAGCCACCAUUUUUUCAACCUUUUCCGUUGCUCCGACAAACAUUGCUGGAUAUGUCCAUUAAUGUUUCAUGGGUAAUAUGUUUUUAAUAGGUGUACAAAAUUAUAAAAAUACGCUAAUUUUCUCAAAAUGUGUAUGGGGAUUGGGGAAGGGAAAAGACAAACUUGCUACGUCAUUGCUAUAAUGAUAUGGGAAAAGGAAAAAUUCUGGAUGUUUUACUGUUUUUCGAACUACAUACUAGAGAAUUGAAAGUAUAUAUAAGUGAUUAUAAUUUUACCUUUGUGAAAUUAAAAGUAUUAGAUAAUCAUAUGUAAAUAUUUAAAAAAUUACCAUCUCGUAGUUGAGCUUGCUGUUCCAUUGCCUGAAGGCGAAAUUUCAACUCAUUGUUUUGACUUGUAAGUCCAGAUGAAUCCCUCUGAACAUACAAAGAGACAUUUUUUUUAAUCUAAAACAUAAAAUUGACAAAGUAAUACACACAAGCAUGGUUUUAUAUUUAGAUAUUUUUAGAGGGAUACCUGUAACAAAGUUAACUGUGCAGAUAAUGUGGUAGCUUCUGUUUGCAAGGUUUGAACCUUGUGUUCUAAUUCAGAAAUAUAUCUCAUCUUUCGUUCCUUAGAUCGUGCAGCAGAUUGCCGGUUAGCCAAAAUCCUAUAAUCAAGAUAUACAAAAUUCAAGAUGGCUCAAUAAACAAAAAAAACCAAGCCUUAAACUAUAAAGAAAUUAAAUUGACCUCUUAGCUCGCUUGGGAUCAGUCAUCGCAAUCUCAGCUAGUUUUUCAUUAGCCAUGAUCUUCUUCAACUCAGCACCACUAAAUUCACCAUUUCCAAAUUCUAAGCUAAAUGAAUUUGUUGACCCAUCUAAUGAAUUGUUCCGAGAGUGUUGACCUGGUUGAAUUCCUGGAGAUGGUGGCAACUUAGGAGAAUCCUCUCCAAAAUUCAUCUUGCCAAUGAAGCUGUCCAUUGAAAUACUUCUUGAAUGAUGAGAAGUCACAUCAUUUAGACAAAGAUCAUUGGACGCACUACGUUUAGUACCUUCCUUCCUUCCCGUCAAUUUUCCAGAAGUCACCUGUUGAAGUGUAGGGGCAGUACCUCCACUCUCAUUAACACUGCUCUCAGCUUCAUUCUCACUACUGUCUGGUCCAGUGGUCUUUGUUCCACUGGCUCUACUGUCCAUGUCUCCAUGUUUCUCUUCUGUCCCAGAUGAGUUCAACACAUCCAAAUUCAUAUAAGCAUUCAUCAAUUCAUCAUCAUUCUCAACUUCAGAUUUCUUUUCACUCACUCUGCCAUCUGCACUGACAUCAAAUCCUCGUUCCCAAUCCAAUUCCUGUUUUGCCAGUUGGGGAUGUUGUUGCUUUGCAAAGCCAAAACUCUCCUUAGCAGAAGUGGACCUAUCAAAGAACCCACCCUGCUUAAGAUGCAAGGGUGGUGGUGGUGCCAUCAUAAAAGGCAAUGAUGAAUUCUGGGUGAAUCCAAAUGGAAUUUCGCUGUGAGAUUUCCUGUGAGCUUUUCUGGGUGGUAGGUUAUCAGUUGUCCGCCCGGAGCUACACAUUCCAAAAGGUCCCGCCAAUGUGAUAUUAGAUGCAACUUUACGCGAAGACCCUGAUCCAACCAAAUCCUUUUCAUCCAUAGGAGCAUCAUUUGAGAUCGGAUCAGGCGACGAAGACUGCAAAGUAUUAGUGUCUUUAUAAGGUGACGGGCUGAGUGGCGGGAAAGAGUCAAGCCAUGUAAACCCUGCAGGUUGAGACAGAGAGCGAGAAUGGCUGGGUACCGAGCCAAAACUCUGUGAUGGGGAGUGUUGUGUGGGGGAUCGAGACAAAGACGUCGGGAUCUGAGAGUAUUGGGAGGUUGGUGGGAUGUUGGGGUGUGACGGUGGAAUUCCAGUGGGCUUCUUGUUACAAAUGGAAUUGCCAAUAUUAUCCCUACUGAUGCUACUGUUAUUCUCAGAGCAGAAGCCUAGAGAGAAGUUACGAAAUGGAGGAGGUGGGGCGUGAGGAUUAUUGGUCGGAUCGAACCUGUUGGAGAACAAAUGCGGUUGUAGUUGCUGCUGUGUUGAAAGAUGAGCCGAAGGAGAUGUCCCCAUGGAAGAUUGCAUUCGUUGCAUGAGAUCGUUGCCUGACUCCUUGGCAUCACCCAUCAUUGCAAAAUUGACGUUUCCUCGCACCUUCCACAGAACACAAGCACACAAUAAUACACAAAGAAGCAAGAAUCACACAACACUGAAAAGAAAGAUUCUUGAUGGGAAAAUCCCUAGAAAGACAACAUCAAAGAGACUAGAAGAAAUCUCAAGAAAUGAACCGAUCGACGUGUGGAAGACUGAAAAGAAACAGACAGAUUUUAAUAAUAAUAAAGAAACAGAGACGAGGCGGAGAAGGUGAGGAAGACGAUCAUAUUAGUUAAGGAAAGAGAGAUCUAGAUUUCAUUUCACCUAAUCGAAGCUGAAGACGGAAUAAAAAAGAAAGUGAGGGGGAGGGCUGGAGGGGAAUGCCGCGUUUCUUCUUCACCGCCGUCAACUGAACACUGAAAAUAAAUAUCUACGCGAAGUGUGAGCAGAAAAAACCAGUAGUGUCGUCCUGAGGGAUAGCCAGAGGCUCCAUUCUCUCCAUCUCUUGGCAAGAUUCGGCGCAAGAAAUCCGCGUGGAUUAAAGUUUCCGCGUGAAUUUACAGACAAAUCUCGAUCUUUUCGGUGAAUUUGGAUUUAAUUCUGCCCCUUGUUUUCGUAUUUUAUUUAUUAAUAAUAAUAACAAUAACAAUAAUACUAAUAAUGUUAUUAUUACCCGAAUCGAAAUACCAAAUCGACCCCUCACGGUAAUUCUAGUAGAUCGAUCCGACGGCUCUUAUUCAAUACAUAAAUGUUUUUUUUGGUCAAAAUAUAAGGGUCCGAGAUCUAUACUUUUCUGUCAACGAGAGUUAUCCGAUCACUAUUGAGUAUUGACCGAAUAUAGGAGUGGGAAGCAUGUUCUUUGCCAAAGUAACCACCGGCCUUUCUCAACAGUCCAUUAAAAUGUAGGACAAAGCCCAUAUUUCAACGACCAUCUAUAACAAAAACCCUAAUCUUCAUCUAUAAAUAUAUCUCCGCCGUGUUUCUGAAGAUUACAAAAUUUCAGUUCUCUUCUUCUUUUUAAUCUUCAAGGUUGAUUUCUCUUCUCUCUCUGUUGUUUUCGUUCUCACUUUAGUUUUCUUCGUUUUUUGUGGAUGAUGAAACGAUUAUCAAAACAGUUAUCCCUGUCUGAGAUAUGCGUUGCGUAUUUGCUGAUACUUGAGUUCUGAUACCUUUUCUUUGCCAACUAUCGUUUUUUUCCUUAGUCAUCGUUUAUAUGUAUUGAAAGUUGUCUGUGAUGAUGAGCUUCAUAUCUAAUCACAAGUAAUAUGGUUAUGCUUGUGCAAAUGCAGAUUUUUCAUGAGCUAGGACGGUCUGAGACAAAUCUAUUAUUAUUUUCUAUCUAAAUCUUUAAUUUUUUUCAUCUUUAUAUCAAUUGUUUUUUUAUUUUUCGAUGUGUUUUUCAUCAGUUAAUCGUUGAAAUUUAUUAGAUGAAUCUGAUUUUUUUACUAUUAAUCUUACUCUUAUUGAUAAUUGAAAUCUCCGUGAGUGUUUUAGAUUAAAAAUAUCACUUUUUAUAAUUUUUAUUGUUUUUGUGAAUAUUUUUUAACGUAAAUGAGGGACAUUCGUGUUUUUUUUAUUGAUCUGUAAUUCGUAAUAAAUAGAAAAUCUUUUAAUUGAUGAUGUUUGUGAAAUGUUAAUGAAAUCUAUUAUUUUAUUUUUUUAUAUGAAGUGAUUUUUUUAUAUGAAGUGAUUUUUUUAUAUGAAGUUAUUUUUCUAAAUAUCUAAUUCGAUAUGAUGAUCUUAAAUUUUUAAAUAUGAGUUAUUUAGUGGAUGCUUGCAUUUUAUGGUCGAUGUUGAUGUUGAUGAUUAAGAUUGUUGAAUAUGAUUGAUGAUUGUUGGCCAUGAUCAAUGUUUGAUAUUAGUAGAGGGAGAGAAACACGGUUUAUACUGAAUUAUUUAUUAGAACUCAUAUUAGUGAUUAAUGAAGUUAAUAAUGCAGGAUUAUGGGUUUAGAUGAAAUUGAAAUCGUUAUGAAUAGUUAUCUAUUUAGAUAGAAUUUGUGUAAUAAGCUGAAUUAAAAUUUAAUUUGUUCUAGUUACCGAGUAUAUGGUUUUACACUGAUGAUCCUUUGUGAUCAUUCCAAUGAUGCAUGAGAUUAACUGUAAGGGACUCUUAUAGCUGUAAUUUGUUUUAAUGUUGAACUCUUUUACUUAUUUAAUACAAACAGUCAAGAAAGUAAAAUAUUAAAAAAAUUAAAACUUUAUUAGUAAUUUUAUUUUAAUUAGAUCUACAGUAGUUUCUAACGGACUUUGAAAUGUAGCACAAAAUCGAAGUUUACCAACUUGUUUUAUUAUGAUUAAACUUUCCCUACAAAACUUGAGCUGUCCUAUUUUAGCUUGGCAUAAAGUAAUUAAUUUAUUUAGGAUAACAUUGAGAUGAGUUAAAUAAAUCUCCAUAAGAUAAUAUUAAAUUUCAUUACGUCAUCAUCCAUUAUAUUUCAAUAGAAUAAAAUUCAGAAAAAAAACUCACUUUAAAUGAACUCAAAACUGCUCUCAUCUCACAAUCGUCAUUCAUGAACUAGAGGCUCUUCUUUCACCUCUGAUCUCCUUCCUCCCUUUCUCAAAAGAGCGGGGAGGCAAACUCUUUCCCUCUUUUUCCUUUUAUUCCUUUCUCAACAGUUCUCCCUCUUCGUUGUAGUUCGUGGUACAUCCUACUGCGGUACAUCCUACUGGUUAUUACUAGAAACUUGAGAAAUGUGAUAUCCUAUGACUCCAUCACAUCUGGUGGGGCGUUCCUGGAUAAAACGGAGAAUCUUGUGGCCUGUGAAAAAUAAUUUGAUUACUACUAGUUGUGGUCUCCGGCAUAGUGAGCCACAUCAAGGGAAGAUAAUCAGAGUUGAUAUAAUCAUCGCCGAUGAGAUUGUACUUGCUUAUGAUCUGGUUAUCAUACGGAGGAGGUGGAAGUGCAGGAGUGGUUGAAUUAGAAAUCAUCCGGGCUAUGUUACUGUUAGAAAAUCCGAUUUCUGAAUCUUGGGCAGCGUAAUUAACGCAAUACGGAUCGACAAAUGUUGAAGUUGUACUGCAUCCCUCGCCGUUGUUAU